ACGGGAGGCAGCAGUGGGGAAUAUUGCACAAUGGGCGAAAGCCUGAUGCAGCGACGCCGCGUGAGCGAAGAAGUAUUUCGGUAUGUAAAGCUCUAUCAGCAGGGAAGAUAAUGACGGUACCUGACUAAGAAGCACCGGCUAAAUACGUGCCAGCAGCCGCGGUAAUACGUAUGGUGCAAGCGUUAUCCGGAUUUACUGGGUGUAAAGGGAGCGCAGGCGGUACGGCAAGUCUGAUGUGAAAGCCCGGGGCUCAACCCCGGUACUGCAUUGGAAACUGUCGAACUAGAGUGUCGGAGGGGUAAGUGGAAUUCCUAGUGUAGCGGUGAAAUGCGUAGAUAUUAGGAAGAACACCAGUGUCGAAGGCGGUUAGCUGGACAAUAACUGACGCUGAGGCGCGAAAGCGUGGGUAGCAAACAGGAUUAGAUACCCUGGUA
rnacentral:rRNA from 1 species